AGGACGAACGCUGGCGGCGUGCUUAACACAUGCAAGUCGAGCGGAAAGGCCCUUCGGGGUACUCGAGCGGCGAACGGGUGAGUAACACGUGAGCAACCUGCCCCUGGCUCUGGGAUAGCCUCCGGAAACGGGGAUUAAUACCGGACAUUCACUUCCUUCCGCAUGGUUGGUGGUGGUAAAGUUUUUCGGCCGGGGAGGGCUCGCGGUCUAUCAGCUUGUGGCGGGUAACGGCCCACAAGGCGACGACGGAUAG
rnacentral:rRNA from 1 species